GACGAACGCUGGCGGCGUGCCUAAUACAUGCAAGUAGGACGCAGUCGCGAACGGGAGAGUAACGCGUCGGUAACUACCUAUUAGAGGGUGAUAACUAUUGGAAACGAUAGCUAAUACCGCAUACUAGUAGAUGUACCUGCGUUGUAUUAGGUAGUCGGUAGGGUAAUGGCCUACCUAGGCAACGGUACAUAGCCGACCCGAGGAGGUGAACGACCACAAUUGGACUGGAGAACAGCCCAAACUUCUACGGGAGGCAACCGGAGGGGAUCAUCGGAAAUGGGGCGCAACCUGACCGAGCAAAGGCGCGGUAGUGAAGAAGGUUUUCGGAGCGUAAAGCUCUGUUGUGAAGGAAGCGGUACUUAACGAAAAAGGGACGGCUAACUACGUGCCAGCAGCCGCGGUAAUAC
rnacentral:rRNA from 1 species